GACGAACGCUGGCGGCGUGCCUAAUACAUGCAAGUAGAACGCUGAAGAAAGGAGCUUGCUUCUUUUGGAUGAGUUGCGAACGGGUGAGUAACGCGUAGGUAACCUGCCUUGUAGCGGGGGAUAACUAUUGGAAACGAUAGCUAAUACCGCAUAGGUAGUAGGAAGGCAUCUUCCUACUAUUAAAGAUGCGUCUGCAUCGCUGCAGGAUGAGCUUAUGGUGUAUUAGCUAGUUGGUGAGAUAAAAGCCCACCAAGGCUAUGAUACAUAGCUGGUCUGAGAGGAUGAACAGCCACAUUGGGACUGAGACACGGCCCAGACUCCUACGGGAGGCAGCAGUAAGGAAUUUUCGGCAAUGGGGGGCAACCCUGACCGAGCAACGCCGCGUGAGUGAUGAAGGUCUUCGGAUCGUAAAACUCUGUUGUAAAGGAAGAAUGUCAUAUAUAGGAAAUGAUAUAUGAGUGACGGUACUUUACUAGAAAGUCACGG
rnacentral:rRNA from 1 species